rnacentral:rRNA from 1 species
UACGUAGGAGGCAAGCGUUGUCCGGAAUUACUGGGCGUAAAGAGCGCGUAGGCGGCGCUGUACGACCGCUGUGAAAGCCCCCGGCUCAACUGGGGAGGGUCAGUGGUUACGGCAGUGCUUGGAGUCUAGGAGAGGGGAGUGGAACUCCGGGAGUAGCGGUGAAAUGCGUAGAUACCCGGAGGAACACCAGUGGCGAAGGCGGCUCCCUGGCCUAGUACUGACGCUGUGGCGCGAAAGCUGGGGGAGCGAACGGG